GGAGGAGGACGAGGAAGACUAGGAGAACAAGGUGGACAAGGAAGACAAGGAUUUGUGCUCGGAAAGUCCGUCAAUGGAACGGUCUGCUGACUCCGAAGGAUCUCUACUGGAUGUGGAUGAAACUUUGGAAAGAAGUAAGGAGGUUCUAGGAUCACCAUUCUACGAAGAAAAACUGCGUCAGCUGUCAACUGGCUAAUUAACAGAGCUUCUCGGUGAAAUGGAAUCCUUGGUCGGAGCGCUCAGCGAAACUUUAUUAGCUGAGUAUUAUUAUUAUUAAUAUUAGCUUACUUUUGUAAGUAUUUAUGAAUAUAGCCUCCAUGAAUAUUCAUUGUUGGUAUAUAAGGUCUGGCAACGUACCAACUUUCUGUAAGAGAUGUUAAAGAUUUUCAACACAAUUAUGUUUUAGUUCUGUGCCCCACCUAGUGAUCCACUACCGACGUGACAUCGCUGUGCUACGUAUAAAGAAGAAAAGAUUUAUUAAGAUGCAAAUUGCUCUUCUCUUCUUGCCACUGUGCUUUCAGCCAUUGUUGUGCCGUAUGUUUAAAAUUUAGGACAGUAUAUAAUAUAGAAUAACAGGUACAGCUAGAAUAUAGCACUACAAUAAAUCUUAUAGAAAUGA
rnacentral:lncRNA from 1 species